rnacentral:rRNA from 1 species
UACGUAGGGUCCGAGCGUUGUCCGGAAUUACUGGGCGUAAAGAGCUCGUAGGUGGUUUGUCGCGUUGUUCGUGAAAACUCACAACUCAAUUGUGGGCGUGCGGGCGAUACGGGCAGACUGGAGUACUGCAGGGGAGACUGGAAUUCCUGGUGUAGCGGUGGAAUGCGCAGAUAUCGGGAAGAACACCUAUGGCGAAGGCAGCUCUCUGGGACGGUACUGACGCUGAGACGCGAAAGCGUGGGGAGCGAACAGG